CUUUUUGAGAGUAUAAUAUAAAGUAUAAAUCAAAUAUUUUAUAUAUAACUACAACCAAUAUAACCUAAUUAAUAUAUAAACAAAGUGAAUAGCCAUUCCUAAUGUUAGCUUGUUGUUUAUUAAUAUAUUUUCUUUACAUUUUCACUGUUAGUUUUCAUUACGUUAUUACAGUUGUUGCAUCUUCCACAGAAUUAUGAUUUCUUUCUUUUCAUAGUGUUUUGUUGUAAUUAAACACUUUUUUUUUGUUAUUUUUAGUUCAAUCUACCCAGCCUAUUUUAUUUAUUUUUAUUACUUUUUUUAUCUUUAGCAACAUCUUCAUCUGCAAUGAGUGCUCUAGUUCCAUCCUCAAUUGCAUUGAGUGUUACAUCUACAUCUGCAAUAAUUGUUACAUCUUCAGCUGCUACAAGUGUCCCACAACCUCCACAACAACUACAGAUUUAGGGUCCAGCACCCUAGACUGAUUAGUAAUCGGUCAUUUUUGCGGUGGGUCCGGUUAGGAGGGAAUGAUGGUGAAUCAUUCAGCUGGGCCUAUCAUCCUCCUAACAAAGGUGCUGGGAGCUACAGCAGAAGAGGAAGCCGUGGAGGAGGUUGUGGGCAAAGACGAAAUGGAAGCGGCUUUGUCGUGAAUGGUGGCAUCCACUAUUACUUGGCGUCACCAUGCCUGUUUUUUUUUUUUUUAAAUAAAUAUAUAACAUUAUCAAGUUUGUUUUCCAUUUUGUCCCAAUUUUUACAAUUAUUAAAAUUUGAUUUAUUUAUUUUAAAUCUUUCACAAAAUGAUUUAAAAACGAAGUAUUGACAGGUGUAAUAGUUUGCAAGGGAUCUAUUUUGUAUGUUUUCAAUGUGAUUAAAAGUUGUAGUGUAGAAAGUAUUAAAGUUGUAACUAUAAAUAGUUAUAGACUUUUUAAUGCGUUUAGGAUUUUUUGAGGUUUUGAAAUUUUGAGGUUUUCUCAUAGCCCAUAUUAAAUGUAGUUACAGAUUUAUAUGUAAUGGUUUAUUGAGUUAAUAAAUGUUAAAUAUCUUUUGCAUACCCAAUUACUAUUCUUUAUUUUAUUUUAGUUUAUAUACUGUUUUUUUGAGUUAAGAAAUAUUAUUUAAUUUUAGACCAGUUUAGUUGUUUGAUUUUAAACCAGUUUAACUUAUGUUUACAGUUCCUAAAUAUUAUAUUUAUUUAACCAUUACUU